AACGCACAUUGCGCCCUCUGGUAUUCCGGGGGGCAUGCCUGUUCGAGCGUCAUUACAACCCUCAAGCUUUGCUUGGUAUUGGACGUCACCUGUACUGGUGCGCCCCAAAAUCAGUGGCGGUGCCAUCUGGCUUCGAGCGCAGUAAAUCAUCUCGCUCUGGAGACUCCAGCUGUGUACCUGCCAGCAACCCCUAAUUUAUCAAAGGUUGACCUCGGAUCAGGUAGGGAUACCCGCUGAACUUAA
rnacentral:misc_RNA from 1 species